rnacentral:rRNA from 1 species
CGCGGGAUUGGGAGGACGGGGUGCAGCAGGCGCGAAAACUUUACAAUGCGGGCAACCGUGAUAAGGAAACCCCGAGUGCCACCACAGGGUGGCUGUCCACCAGUGUAAACAACUGGUGAAGAAAGGGCCGGGCAAGACCGGUGCCAGCCGCCGCGGUAAUACCGGCGGCUCGAGUGGUGGCCGCUUUUACUGGGCUUAAAGGGUCCGUAGCUGGAUCUGUGUGUCCCUUGAGAAAUCCAUCGGCUUAACUGAUGGGCGUUCAGGGGAAACUGCAGUUCUAGGGACCGGGAGAGGUGAGAGGUACUGCCGGGGUAGGAGUGAAAUCCUGUAAUCCCGGUGGGACGACCUAUGGCGAAGGCAUCUCACCAGAACGGCUCCGACAGUGAGGGACGAAAGCUGGGGGAGCAAACCGGAUUAGAUACCCGGGUAGUCCCAGCUGUAAACUAUGCGCAUUAGGUGUGUCAGUGACCACGUGUCACUGAGGUGCCGAAGGGAAACCGUGAAAUGCGCCGCCUGGGGAGUACGGUCGCAAGGCUGAAACUUAAAGGAAUUGGCGGGGGAGCACCACAACGGGUGGAGCCUGCGGUUUAAUCGGACUCAACGCCGGGAAUCUCACCGGAUAAGACAGCUGAAUGAUAGUCGGGAUGAAGACUCUACUUGACUAGCUGAGAGGAGGUGCAUGGCCGUCGUCAGUUCGUACUGUGAAGCAUCCUGUUUAGUCAGGCAACGAGCGAGACCCACGCCGACAAUUGCCAGCUUGACCUUCGGGUCGAUGGGGACAUCGUUGGGACCGCCUCUGCUAAAGGGGAGGAAGGAAUGGGCAACGGUAGGUCAGCAUGCCCCGAAUUAUCCGGGCUACACGCGGGCUACAAUGGUUGGGACAAUGGGUUCCGACACCGAAAGGUGAAGGCAAUCUCCUAAACCCAGUCUAAGUUCGGAUUGCGGGUUGUAACUCACCCGCAUGAAGCUGGAAUCCGUAGUAAUCGCGUUUCACCAUAGCGCGGUGAAUAUGUCCCUGCUCCUUGCACGAAUUCGCCGAAUCACUAGU